rnacentral:rRNA from 1 species
AUUGAACGCUGGCGGCAGGCUUAACACAUGCAAGUCGAGCGGAGAUGAGGUGCUUGCACCUUAUCUUAGCGGCGGACGGGUGAGUAAUGCUUAGGAAUCUGCCAUUUAGUGGGGGACAACAUUCCGAAAGGAAUGCUAAUACCGCAUACGUCCUACGGGAGAAAGCAGGGGAUCUUCGGACCUUGCGCUAAAUGAUGAGCCUAAGUCGGAUUAGCUAGUUGGUGGGGUAAAGGCCUACCAAGGCGACGAUCUGUAGCGGGUCUGAGAGGAUGAUCCGCCACACUGGGACUGAGACACGGACCAGAAUCCUACGGGAGGCAGCAGUGGGGAAUAUUGGACAAUGGGCGGAAGCCUGAUCCAGCCAUGCCGCGUGUGUGAAGAAGGCCUUUUGGUUGUAAAGCACUUUAAGCGAGGAGGAGGCUACUAGUACUAAUACUACUGGAUAGUGGACGCUACUCGCAGAAUAAGCACCGGCUAACUCUGUGCCAGCCGCCGCCGUAAGAC